rnacentral:rRNA from 1 species
UUUACCUUUUUUGUAUUAUUAGAUUUAGUAAGAGAUAGAAUUUAUACCUUUUUAGCUUAAAAGAAAAAGAAGUAAAAAUUUGGAAGCUGCGAAGAUCUGGACUUAAACCAGGAUUAGAGACCCUGUUAUACCAGUUUUAGAAAAUUUUACUUGGGUAGUAAUCAGGUAAGAGCUUGAAAUCUAAAGAAUUUGGCGGUAUUUUAGUCUAUUUAGAGGAACCUGUUCUAUAAGCGAUAAUCCACGUAAUAUCUUACUUUGUUUUGUAUUCAGUUUGUAUACCGCCAUAAUUUGGCUUUAUUUUAAAAUAAAUUCCAGAAUAAAUACCCAUUUUAAUACAUUAGGUCAAGGUGCAGCUUAUAAUAAAGUAGUUAAUGGGUUACAAUAUAAUUUAUAUAAACGAAAAGAAAGGCUAAAUGCUUUCUGGAAGGCGGAUUUAAUAGUAUUUUAUGUUUAAUAAGAUUAUGCGAAGUUGCUCUAAAAUAUGUACACAUCGCCCGUCGCUCUCAUUU